rnacentral:rRNA from 1 species
GACAGAGGGUGCAAACGUUGUUCGGAAUUACUGGGCGUAAAGCGUGUGUAGGUGGCUGCGAAAGUCGGAUGUGAAAGCCCUGGGCUCAACUCAGGAAGUGCACCCGAUACUGCGUAGCUCGAGUACCGGAGAGGUUGGUAGAAUUCUCGGUGUAGAGGUGAAAUUCGUAGAUAUCGAGAGGAAUACCUGUGGCGAAGGCGGCCAACUGGACGAGUACUGACACUGAGACACGAAAGCGUGGGGAGCAAACAGGG